UACGUAGGGGCAAGCGUUGUCCGGAAUCAUUGGGCGUAAAGAGCGUGUAGGCGGCCCGACAAGUCCGCCGUGAAGUCCGAGGCUCAACCUCGGAAUGCCGGUGGAAACUGUCGGGCUUGAGUUCGGAAGAGGCGAGUGGAAUCCAGGUGUAGCGGUGAAUGCGUAGAUAUCUGGAGGAACACCUAUAGCGAAGGCAGCUUGCUGGGACGUUACUGAGCUAAGGCGCGAAAGCGUGGGGAGCGAACAGG
rnacentral:rRNA from 1 species